UACGGGGGGUGCGAGCGUUGUCCGGAAUCACUGGGCGUAAAGGGCGCGUAGGUGGCUUGGCAAGCGCGUGGUGAAAGCCCGGGGCUCAACCCCGGGUCUGCCAUGCGAACUGCUAUGGCUUGAGCACUGUAGAGGCAGGUAGAAUUCCGGGUGUAGCGGUGGAAUGCGUAGAGAUCCGGAAGAAUACCGGUGGCGAAGGCGGCCUGCUGGGCAGUGGCUGACACUGAGGCGCGACAGCGUGGGGAGCAAACAGG
rnacentral:rRNA from 1 species